GGUGCCUUAGAGAAGUGGUUUAACUCACUCCCUUUGGGUCAAGGGCUCCUGGGAGAGAUCGAGGGUUCGAAUCCCUCAGGCACCC